GUGGUCGAGUUACAAACAUCCUGAGUCACAAAGAGAGCAGGAAGACGUUCAGUUCACUUUUACUGAAAGAAAAUGCUGUAUUGAUUUGCCUUAUAUGUUCCACAUUAAGAAGGAGUGGCUUACAGGAUUGCAGUGAGUGGUGUGAUGAAAAUAAAAACAGGAUAUUAGCACCGAGACGAAAUAUGGGUCCUUUUUUCUACAAGACUAAAUACUGUAGUACAUUUGUUGGACACCUUACAUUACUUCCUGAAUUGCACAUUUUGCGGCUAGGGGUUAGUUCAGUUCCCUGUGGGCUCGUGUGAAUCCUGAAUAUGGUGACCAACAUGUUGCUGCUAGUCCUCUUUGUUUCAGAUUUUCUCCCACAUCUUGUUGAAGGUGCUUGUGAG